GAACUCAAGUAUAGAUUUUUCAUCCUUUUUAGCGAUGCCCCUCGGCUUCUGGAUUUGUGGUUAGAUGGCCGCUCCUGUUGGCACCUGUGACAAGAAUUUCUGGAGGACACAGGGAGAUGGGUGUUUGCGCUCCGGACUGUGGACUUGUUCAUCAGCUUCUGAUCUACACCUUCAGUCUCCACCAUAAAUGUGUCCCGGAUGAACUCCUAAACUCCUCCCUUCCACUCUGCUCUUCUCAUUGCUCCGUGUAUCACAGGCCACCCCAGAUGCAGGAAGGCGGCUUAUGUGAUCGUUCUCUGUGUCCUCUCCCUCCCCGACUCUAGGCUGAAACGAUUUAACAUGCCCCAAGACUUCUGAAGUGAACCGGUUUAGAAACUAUUGGUUUAGAAAUUGUGUUUGAUUGAUCUUGUGAUAUUAAGAAAAGAAAAAAAAAAAAAGAAAAGAAA